rnacentral:snRNA from 1 species
GAAUGUGAGGGUGAUCUGGCUGCAACAUGUCACCCCACUGAUCACCAGGGUUGACUUGGCUGAUCUGGCUGGCUAGGUGGGUGUCCCCUUCCUCCUCAACACUCCAUGUGCGACCGUCCCAAAGCUCCUCAUUCAGAUCAGUCAAAGAAGAUGACCUUCCCCGAUAGAGGAGGACCAGUCUUUGGUCAAGGGUAUAUGAGUAGCUGCAUUCCCCUGCUAGGACCUCCAAACAAGCUCUCAAGAACUAGGCAUGGACCAAUGAGAUGGCUCAGUGGAUAAAGGCGUUUGCUGCAAAGUCUCAUGACCU